GACGAACGCUGGCGGCGUGCCUAAUACAUGCAAGUAGAACGCUGAAGGAGGAGCUUGCUUCUCUGGAUGAGUUGCGAACGGGUGAGUAACGCGUAGGUAACCUGCCUGGUAGCGGGGGAUAACUAUUGGAAACGAUAGCUAAUACCGCAUAAUAGUAGAUGUUGCAUGACAUUCACUUAAAAUGUGCAAUUGCAUCACUACCAGAUGGACCUGCGUUGUUUUAGCUAGUUGGUGGGGUAACGGCUCACCAAGGCGAAGGUACAGAGCCGAGGUGAGAGGGUGGUCGGCCACACCGGGACUGGGGCAAGGCCCAGAAUCCUACGGGGGGCAGCAGUAGGGGAUCUUCGGCAAUGGGCGGAAGUCUGGCCGAACAACUCCGGCGGGGUGGAGGAGGUUUUCGGGUCGUUAAACUCUGUUGUAAGAGAAGGACGAGUAUGAGAGUAGAAAGUUCACACUGUGACGGUAUCUUACCAGAAAGGAACGGCUAACUUCGUG
rnacentral:rRNA from 1 species